rnacentral:rRNA from 1 species
GAUGAACGCUGGCGGCGUGCCUAAUACAUGCAAGUCGAGCGAACAGACGAGGAGCUUGCUCCUCUGACGUUAGCGGCGGACGGGUGAGUAACACGUGGAUAACCUACCUAUAAGACUGGGAUAACUUCGGGAAACCGGAGCUAAUACCGGAUAAUAUAUUGAACCGCAUGGUUCAAUAGUGAAAGACGGUUUUGCUGUCACUUAUAGAUGGAUCCGCGCCGCAUUAGCUAGUUGGUAAGGUAACGGCUUACCAAGGCAACGAUGCGUAGCCGACCUGGAAGGGUGAUCGGCCACACUGGAACUGAGACACGGUCCAGACUCCUACGGGAGGCAGCAGUAGGGAAUCUUCCGCAAUGGGCGAAAGCCUGACGGAGCAACGCCGCGUGAGUGAUGAAGGUCUUCGGAUCGUAAAACUCUGUUAUUAGGGAAGAACAAAUGUGUAAGUAACUAUGCACGUCUUGACGGUACCUAAUCAGAAAGCCACGGCUAACUACGUG